rnacentral:rRNA from 1 species
AUGUCGCACACCCCCUGCGCGUCGGUCGGGUACAUUGACUACCUCCACCUCUUCUAUUGCGGCUUCGUUGCGACCCCGGCGGCCGGGUACGCGGCGUUCCUGCUCUGGCUGGUCGUGUUCUUCUACCUACUCGGCGGCACCGCGUCCGAGUACUUAUGCGCGCCGCUCAAGGGGCUCUACGUCGCGCUGCGCCUGCCCCCCGCUGUCGCCGGCAUCACGCUCCUCUCGCUCGGCAAUGGCGCACCCGACGUCUUCGCCAGCGUCGUGUCGUUCGCUGCCGGCGACAGCGGGGACGGCGGCUGCUACGGGCUCAACUGCGCGCUCGGCGGCGCGCUCUUCGUGUCCAUCGUCGUCGCCGGUGUCGUCGCGCUCGCACCGCAGGGCGCGGCGGCGGGGGAGGGGUCGUCGUGGAGAUGUCAUGCCUGCAUUACCUUGUGUGCGCGCUCCGCAUGCCGCUAUACCAUCCGCGCCACCUCACCGUCCGGCAUCUCGGACAUCGCCACGCACCGCUGGUCUCGGCCCUGCGGCGUGGCCUCUGUCGCGCUGGCGCCCGUGCUCCUCGCCACGACAUGGACCUCGCACAGCCCGAUGAAAUCAUCCUUGCGCCACCACAACAGCGACGGCCACGCGAUCCUCCUUGCCGGCGCCGUCCUCGACCUCCUCCUCGCGGNNNNNNNNNNNNNNNNNNNNNNNGUGGCCAUCGCCGUGAAGGCCAACAUGCUGGGCGUGACGGUGUUGGCGUGGGGGGACUCGAUGGGCGACCUAGUCUCCAACAUGGCGAUGGCGACGCACGGGGGCCCGACGGCGCGCAGACGGCCUACCCGGCGCCGUUCACGCUCCCGGUGGAUGCGGCAGUGUACAAGACGGUCGACCAGGGACAUGCGGCUCGACCGGGUGUACAGGGUGGGCCUCAUCAUCAUCUACCUCACUUUCUUAGGCGUUCGAGUCCUCGACAGCCGCGGCCUCUGGUUCGGGUAG